GCCAACUUGGCCGAGUGGUCUAAGGCGGCACAUUUAAGUGGUAGUUUUACACAAUCACACAUCUGUGCUAUCGAGAGAUGCGCAGGUUCGAACCCUGCAGUUGGCA